CCUGAGGACACUAUGCACAGCCACCUACACCAGCAACCUGACUGCACCAGGAUAAGUCACUAACAAAGUUGGCUCUCAUACUUCAGGAAUAAAUAACAUUACUGAGUGCUGGGAUUGAUCAUGACAUGUGCACCCACACAACUCCACUGAAUUAAAGUCUGGAUAAUUGGGGACAGCUACGUCUGGCGAGGGGCCUAGAGAGCUACAGAUAUCAUAGGGAACCACCUUGGUGUUGAUGGUAUCUCUAUUGGUUUGGCUGGGG